GACAGAGGGGGCAAGCGUUGCUCGGAAUCACUGGGCGUAAAGGGCGCGUAGGCGGGCUGGCAAGUCGGUCGUGAAAUCCUUCGGCUCAACCGAAGAACGUCGGCCGAUACUGCCGUUCUUGAGGGAUGCAGAGGAGAUUGGAAUUCCCGGUGUAGCGGUGAAAUGUGUAGAGAUCGGGAGGAACACCGGUGGCGAAGGCGGGUCUCUGGGCAUCUCCUGACGCUGAGGCGCGAAAGCUAGGGGAGCAAACGGG
rnacentral:rRNA from 1 species